AAAACAUAGAUUAUAAUCACGCUAACAGCUAUUAAUUCCCUAAUCAACAAAUUCAAUCCUAAAACAUUCCCCUCAAAUAUCACAAGUGUUCUAAGCUUCCUAAUUUUUAUUCUUAGCCGAAUCUUCUCUGAGGGAUACAAUUCUAUUCAAUACAAGAUGAUUUGGUUUCUUAGUAUCCUCAUCUAAACAGAAAUAUCCAACCCGCAUAGCUUGAAAACGGACACUUUCAGGAUUUUCGGCUUUGUCGACACCAGCCGAUGAAUCAGUCUUAGGCCAAGGUGCCGAUUUAAUUAAAUCAUAAAUGCCAGGUUCAAUAAUGGAAUUUUUUAGUACGACUUCGCUCUCUGGAUUCAAUUGUGCAGCGAGCUCUUGUUCUUUUAGGGCGGCAGGGUUAUCACAUUUGAAAAGAUUAUUAAAGAGGCGGGUUUCAGCAAUAAGUACUGGACUAUUACUUUCUUUGUCCCUAGACACCCAUUGAAUAAAGGUCUUAGGCUUCUUUGAAGAGCUAGCGUCGUACUCAGCGAUGAUUUCUAUUGGUUCCCCUUCAUCAUUUUUUACAACCCUUUUGGCAACUACAGGAUGAGAGGCACGGAACAAGCCAACCGGUUGACCUAAUGUCAAACGGAAAAAGUCAGAAGAUGCUUCCUCACGAAAAUCAGAACGGUCAAUGUAUAUAUGCUUUGUAAGAAAAGCAGAACGAGAUCCCAUAGAAGGAUCUUUAGGAUUAAAGGGUAUCUCAAUUUGCUCUCUGUAAGAGUCGUCUAGAUUUUCUAAUGUAACCUUGAUAGGAUCAGGAAGAAACAUAAGACGUGGUACACUGUUUUCGAGAAAUUUUCGAACACAGUUCUCAAAUCGAGCAACUUCUAUAUUGCUGACGGCAGUAGUGACACCGACUUCACUAACAAACUCAAGGAUAGCACCUGGAGGAACACCUCGGCGGCGAAGAGCUACAAGGGUAUAUAGCCUAGGAUCAUUCCAACCAUGAACGUAUCCUUCCUUUACCAAUUUCAUUAUUUUUCGUUUGCUCAUGAGGGUUCCGACAACGUUCAAACGACCGUACUCACGCUGAGCAGGACAAUAAACUUCCAAGGCAUUACAUAACCACUCAUAACUUACUCUAGAUAAUAUAAACUCAGUCGUACACAAAGAGUGAGAAAUGUUCUCGAACGAAUCAACUAAACAAUGGGUAAAAUCAUAAGUUGGGUAAAUUUUCCACUUGUCUCCAGUACGAGGAUGAGGAGAAUUAAGAACACGGUAGGCAAUAAGGUCCCACAUUUGAGGAUUUCCAUCACUGAGAUCUUGUUUCAUACGUAAAAUAGCCUCCUUCGGUUGAUACUUUCCAUCACGCAUAUUACGAAAUUCAAGAAGCGAUUCUUCUAUCGGGCGGUCCCGAUGAACACAAGCAUAACGAGGACCGCGCUCCUCACCACCUCUAGCUUUUUUAAUUUCAGCAUCGGUACAAUGACAAACAUAUGCCUUGUCCCGCUUAAUGAGCUCUUCGGCUAACUCAUAUAACUUAUCAAAGUAAUCACUGGAAUAGGUGAUCUUAUAAGGUUGGAAUCCCAACCAGGCUACCAAAUCCUUGAUGCUUUCAAAGUAACGCUCUUCUUCAGCUUCCGGAUUAGUAUCAUCAAAGCGUAAAUAACAAACGCCGUUAUGAUAGCGAGCAAACCCAAAAUUAACAGCGAUUGCUUUGGAAUGGCCAAUAUGGAGGUACCCAUUUGGUUCCGGAGGAAACCUGGUUACAACGCCGCCUCCAGUAGCCUGCAGGUGCUCCUUCAUCCUUUCAGGAAUCAGCUGCGUAUUACCACCUGGUUUAUGUAGCUUUGCUAAAAACCCUUCCUCAAACAUAUUAUAUUUCUUAGACUGUUCAGAAACAAUUUUUUGUUCCUUAGCUUUCCCAGAAUCAACAGUCUUCUGCUUCGAAUUCUUGGCUUUUGCGCCUUUUUUUUUACCAGCGGCAGCAUCUUGUUCGGUUUUUGGUCCCAAGAGUUCAAGGAAUUUCCUAUCAAGGGUCUGCUUGACCUCCAGUUGAGGAGCCCAUUUCAAUAAAGCAUGCUGACGUAAAGCAGAGGCAGAAGGAUUUAACAGCUGGUAUCUUUGCUCCAAAAUUUUUGACUUAUUCUCAGCGACAUAAUCACCGACGAGUUGUUCAAUUUGUUCAGGUGUUAAGACUACACCAACACCAGUUUCUUUAUCGAACUCAGAUUCGUCGAUCGUGUCUUUGUCCUUGCAAUAGGUAAUAGCCGCAUUGACUUGGAGGUUUGUUUUUAAGUCUCCAGAUACAAUUUUGGAAGCUAUGAAUGCCUCAUGAGCAUUGGAUUUCGGGUCUUUUUGUUUUAAAGAAGCGUUGGCCAAUGUAAAUAGCAAAUUUCCAAUUGUUCUAUCACAUCCCGAAGAACCAACGUUAGUUUCCUCAAUGACCUUAUUUAAUGAAGAAGAAAGCUUUUUAUUUUUUAACGUAUCUUUUACCGUUGUUUCAUUUAAUCCUAUUUUUGUAAACUUGGCACGUAACUCCUCAUAAUCCUGGUCCAUUUUAGUAUAAUAAAACUUCCCUCCAAAAAAUGUAUAAGUAUUGCAAUAA